rnacentral:rRNA from 1 species
UGGGGAAUUUUCCGCAAUGGGCGAAAGCCUGACGGAGCAAUACCGCGUGAGGGAGGAAGGCUCUUGGGUCGUAAACCUCUUUUCUCAAGGAAGAAAGAUGACGGUACUUGAGGAAUAAGCAUCGGCUAACUCCGUGCCAGCAGCCGCGGUAAUACGGAGGAUGCAAGCGUUAUCCGGAAUGAUUGGGCGUAAAGGGUCCGCAGGUGGAACUGAAAGUCUGCUGUUAAAGAAUUUGGCUUAACCAGAUAAAAGCAGUGGAAACUACAGAACUAGAGUAUGGUAGGGGUAGAAGGAAUUCCUAGUGUAGCGGUGAAAUGCGUAGAUAUUAGGAAGAACACCGGUGGCGAAAGCGUUCUACUAGACCAAAACUGACACUGAGGGACGAAAGCUAGGGGAGCGAAUGGG